AGGAAGAGAAAGCAAACGCGAUUCCCUGAGUAGCGGCGAGCGAAACGGGAUUAGCCCAAACCAGAAGGCUUGCCUUCUGGGGUUGUAGGACACUCUAUGUGGAGUUACAAAGGAACGGGGUAGAUGAAGAGGUCUGGAAAGGCCCGUCAGAGAAGGUAAAAACCCUGUAGUUGAAACUUCGUUCCCUCCUGAGUGGAUCCUGAGUACGGCGGGACACGUGAAAUCCCGUCGGAAGCAGGGAGGACCAUCUCCCAAGGCUAAAUACUCCCUAGUGACCGAUAGUGAACCAGUACCGUGAGGGAAAGGUGAAAAGCACCCCGGAAGGGGAGUGAAAGAGAUCCUGAAACCGUGUGCCUACAAGUAGUCAGAGCCCGUUCAUGGGUGAUGGCGUGCCUUUUGUAGAAUGAACCGGCGAGUUACGAUUGCAUGCAAGGUUAAGUUGAAGAGACGGAGCCGCAGCGAAAGCGAGUCUGAACAGGGCGAUUCAGUAUGCAGUUGUAGACCCGAAACCAGGUGAUCUACCCAUGUCCAGGGUGAAGUCCAGGUAACACUGGAUGGAGGCCCGAACCCACGCACGUUGAAAAGUGCGGGGAUGAGGUGUGGGUAGCGG
rnacentral:ncRNA from 2 species